ACAAACUGGUCACAUGAGAACUUUAUAAAAUGAAAACAUGAUUACAAACUAUAAGUAAAACAACCCAAAUUAUUGAUUUCAGACAUGUAGCAUACACCUCAAUCAGGAAUGCUGUUAGGAUAUAAUACUAGGAAAAACAUAUAAAAUUACGGUGAGUUGCAGUGGAUUGAGUUGUCAAUGAGCCCUCUGCUAUUUACGGUGAUUUUGUUCAUCGCCAAUGUGAGUUGAUUAUGUUAAUUUUUUCAUAUAAAUUAGAAACUUGAUAGUCAAUUCUAUUUUUUUUUGUAUUUUAUUAUUUUAGUAGUUCACUCCUGAUGCUGCAAGGUACAACGUUAUUUGGUGGGUUCAGUGGUGCAUUGGGCAUCUGAUAGAUGACGACUUAUCUCAUUUUUCAAGAGAGCAAAGGUGAAUCAAUCUUCUUCUUGGGACAAAACUUAAACUUCUAUUUGACACGUUCUGCUGUGUAGAAGUGCAUGGAAAGAUGAUAAUGUGCUGACACUUUCUGGUUGUUUUCUACUGUAUUCUUGAAGUGCCUUGCUUUCUGUUUUUUGAAUGACUAAUUGUCAGAUUAUCGCAGUGCUUUCUGUUAAUACCUCGAGGUUCUCGUCUGUUCUUUUUACAUGAGUUGAAAGAUUCUAUUUUUUGUAAUUUAAUUUAAUACGCUGAUUAGUGUGAUUCCAGGUAGGCCUUAAACCAGGUGGAUUCUUUAUGUUGAAAGAGAACAUUGCGAGAAACGGACCAGAAAGGAUUGCCUGAGGAAUUGUUUACUGUGAAGAUGUAUGCUUUAACAUCUGUAGCACCAAAGAAAGUUCAUAAGACCCGAUCUAAGGUGCAAGCUAACAGACCCACCAUCAUUAAAUGAUUUGUUGCUCUGUUCUUCUAGUGUAGAAGCGCUCAGUUUUCGUGUGCUGCAUGCAUAUUGUUGUAUCCGAGAGUAAGAAAAUGCUUUUUCCUUGAUAAGAACAAUUGAUGGGUAAAUGAUAUAUACAUGAACAACUAAUUGAGUUUAUGUAAAUUGCCACUAUAAUAUGUUGACGCAUUUGUAUCAUUCACUGUGUUCGAGAGUGGACUUUAGCGAUCA